rnacentral:misc_RNA from 1 species
UUUCCGUAGGUGAACCUGCGGAAGGAUCAUUAUUGUAUAAUCGAGGUCCGCGGUCUGUCGCUGACCCGAAAGUCUGUGCACGCCGGAUCGAUCACACCCACACACAUCCCAUGCCUAUGUAAACAACCGCGAGGGUCUCCCUUUGGUUUGUUCGGAGGAGGGCUAACCUUUUUACAUAUACUUUGUAUGAAUUGUUGUUUGUAUUUUUUGUUUUUGCGAUCCUGCAAUCAAUACAACUUUCUACAACGGAUCUCUUUGCUCUCUCAUCGCUGAAGAACA